AGUUUCUCUUCAGACUUGAUACAGGUAAGAAUCCCAGUCUUGUUCUUGCAAAACCUCUGCAACAAUGGCACACUUUGGCCAUCUGGUGGCAGUGUUGAGCCUUUGCCUGCUGGCUGCAGUGGUGAAUUCUCAACAGAACACCCCCGAACCUCCUCGUUUAGGACAGGAGAUCUGCACACACUACACUCAGGGUGGGACCCUCCUUCUGGAUGGGCCAAAGGUCUUUGAAAUGAUGCUGAUCGAGUUUGGAAGGGCAAUCCAGACCCUGAACCCUAUGGUGACUCAACAGUGGAUGGAUGAAGUAGAUGAUGAUCAUGACAAACGCCUGAACAUGGCGGAGUGUGCCAAACUCAUCCAGAGAGUGUCUGAUUCCAUUCAGAGGCCUCCGCAAUAAAGAAGCCACAUCUACUGACUUAAGUAACUUGUGCUUGUGUACGGAAGUAGACAUGAAGAAAAAUAAGAUUUCUCAAGCACUUAUUUAGUAGGUCUGUAGCUUAAU
ensembl:lncRNA